UAUCUUCCCUCAGACUACUCUCCUGGUGUAGGACAGAAUCAGAGUUCUGGUCUGAUGGUGUGGACCAGUGUUGGUCUGGUAGUCAUGGUGACAGUGUUAGGACUGGUCCUGCUCCUGUUCUCCAGACAGAGGAGAGGAACCAGGAGAACACCACCACCACCACCAGUCUCCUCCAACACACAACCUGACCCUACUGGAGAGGUUGACUGUGUGUAUGAGGAGAUCAGAGAGGCAGACAGACAGAGAGACACAA